AGGACCAUAGCUCAGUUGGUUAGAGCGCUGCCUUGACAUGGCAGAGGUCCCCAGUUCGAAUCUGGGUGGUCCUACCA
rnacentral:tRNA from 4 species